rnacentral:rRNA from 1 species
UGGGGAAUAUUGCGCAAUGGGGGAAACCCUGACGCAGCAACGCCGCGUGGAGGAAGAAGGCCUUCGGGUUGUAAACUCCUGUCAUUGGGGAAGAAAAAAAUGACGGUACCCAAUGAGGAAGCCACGGCUAACUACGUGCCAGCAGCCGCGGUAAUACGUAGGUGGCAAGCGUUGUCCGGAAUUAUUGGGCGUAAAGGGCGCGUAGGCGGCCUGGUAAGUCAGAUGUGAAACCCCCGGGCUUAACUUGGGGCAUGCAUUUGAAACUGCUGGGCUUGAGUGCAGGAGAGGUAAGUGGAAUUCCUAGUGUAGCGGUGAAAUGCGUAGAUAUUAGGAGGAACACCAGUGGCGAAGGCGACUUACUGGACUGUAACUGACGCUGAGGCGCGAAAGCGUGGGGAGCAAACA